rnacentral:lncRNA from 1 species
ACCACGAGUCAAAAAAUGAAAAUGACUAUGAUUAAACCAUGAGUCAAAAAAUGAAAAUAAUCCUGAUUAAGCCAUGAGUCAGAAAAUGAAAAUGAGCCAGAUUAAACCACAAGUCAAAAAAUGGAAACAACCAGGAUUAAACCACCAGUCAAAAAAAGAAAAACGAUCAGGAUUAAACCAUGGGUCAGAAAAUGAAAAUGAUCGAGAUUAAACUAUGAGUCAGAAAAUGAAAAUGACUGAGAAUAAACCACGAGUCAUAAAAUGAAAAUGCGAGGGAUUAGACCGCGUCUUAGAUAAUGAAAACAACCAAAAUUAAAUCACGAGUCAGAAAAUGAAAACAACAAGGAUUAAAUCACGAAUCAAAAAAAUGAAAAUGACCAGGAUUAAAUCAUGAGUCG